rnacentral:rRNA from 1 species
AUUGAACGCUGGCGGCAUGCUUUACACAUGCAAGUCGAACGGUAACAGGUUAAGCUGACGAGUGGUGAACGGGUGAGUAAUGCAUCGGAACGUGCCCGGUCGUGGGGGAUAACGCAGCGAAAGCUGCGCUAAUACCGCAUACGAUCUGAGGAUGAAAGCGGGGGACCGUAAGGCCUCGCGCGAUCGGAGCGGCCGAUGUCAGAUUAGGUAGUUGGUGGGGUAAAGGCUCACCAAGCCGACGAUAUGUAGCUGGUCUGAGAGGACGACCAGCCGCACUGGGACUGAGACACGGCCCAGACUCCUACGGGAGGCAGCAGUGGGGAAUUUUGGACAAUGGGCGCAAGCCUGAUCAAGCAAUGCCGCGUGCAGGAAGAAGGCCUUCGGGUUGUAAACUGCUUUUGUACGGAGCGAAAAGGCUCUCUCUAAUACGGAGGGCUCAUGACGGUACCGUAAGAAUAAGCACCGGCUAACUACGUGCCAGCCGCCGCCGUAA